UACGGAGGGUGCGAGCGUUAAUCGGAAUUACUGGGCGUAAAGGGCGCGUAGGCGGCGAUACAAGUCUGGUGUGAAAGUCCUGGGCUUAACCUGGGGAUGGCGUCCGAAACUGUAUGGCUAGAGUAGGGUAGAGGGAGGUAGAAUUUCCGGUGUAGCGGUGAAAUGCGUAGAGAUCGGAAGGAAUACCAGUGGCGAAGGCGGCCUCCUGGACGCAUACUGACGCUGAGGCGCGAAAGCAUGGGGAGCAAACAGG
rnacentral:rRNA from 1 species